GCGAUACUAGCUCAGUUGGUAGAGCGCAACCUUGCCAAGGUUGAGGUCAU
rnacentral:tRNA from 1 species